rnacentral:rRNA from 11 species
CGGCGACUUGUAGGUAGUGGCAGGUUAAGGUAAAGAAUACUGGAGCCAUAGUGAAAGCGAGCCUGAAUAGGGCGUUAGUCACUGUUUACAGACCCGAACCCGGAUGAUCUAACCAUGGCCAGUGUGAAGCUUAGGUAACACUAAGUGGAGGCGCGAACCGACUGAUGUUGAAAAAUCAGCGGAUGAGUUGUGGUUAGGGGUGAAAUGCCAAUCGAAUCCGGAGCUAGCUGGUUCUCCCCGAAAUGCGUUUAGGCGCAGCGGUUAACGCUAUAGCUUAGGGGUAAAGCACUGUUUCGGUGCGGGCUGCUAACGCGGUACCAAAUCGAUGCAAACUCUGAAUACUAAGUGUGUAGUUAACCAGUAAGACUGUGGGGGAUAAGCUCCAUUGUCAAGAGGGAAACAGCCCAGACCACCAGCUAAGGCCCCCAAAUGAUUACUAAGUGGCAAAGGAUGUGGGAACACUGAGACAAUCAGGAGGUUCGCCUAGAAGCAGCUAUCCUUUAAAGAGUGCGUAAUAGCUCACUGAUCAAGUGCACCUGCGCCGAAAAUGACUGGGACUAAGUAAUCUGCCGAAGCUGUGGGAUUUUUAAAAAUCGGUAGGGG